UACAGAGGUGCCGAGCGUUAUGCGGAAUCACUGGGCUUAAAGCGUGUGUAGGCGGAUGCCUAAGUACCUUGUGAAAUCCCACGGCUCACCCGUGGAACUGCUUGGUAUACUGGUUGUCUUGAGCCUUCCAGGGGCGAGUGGAACAAAUGGUGGAGCGGUGAAAUGCGUAGAUAUCAUUUGGAACGCCAAUGGUGAAAACAACUCGCUGGGGAAGUGCUGACGCUGAGACACGAAAGCCAGGGGAGCGAACGGG
rnacentral:rRNA from 1 species